rnacentral:rRNA from 1 species
UCUUUCCUUCUCGAGAAAAAUAGAAAACUAAAUUUAGACCUUAAUAGGAAAAAUUAAUAAUACUAUAAAUUAAUUCAUCUAACCUGAAAAGUAAUCAAUCUAAAAGAAUUGAAACAUCUUAGUACUAUACACCAAAAGAAACUCAAAAGUAGUGGCGAACGAAAUUGAAUCAUAAAUAUAAUUUAAUUGAUUGGACAAAGUUUUUAAAAAGUUUAUCUAUAGAAAAAGUAUCAUGAGAGAAAUUUAAUUACGAGAAGUUUAACCAUGAGAACCAUUUACCUUUUGCAUGAUGCACUUACAAGAAAAAUUAUUGGCAUAUUUCAUGAUAGAAGAAAUUAAAAAUAGUCAAUAUGACCCGAAACCAAGUGAUCUAAUUAUGAACAAUCGAUAGGACUAACCAAUAAAUGUUGAAACAUUUUUGGAAGAUUUGUAAUUAGCAGCGAAAACCUAAACGAACUUGGCUAUAGCUGGUUGUUUACGAAAAUUAUAUAAGUAAAAGUAAUUUUUUAUUAACACAGAGAAAUAACGCAAAGGUUAUUCCUCCAAAGAGAAACAACUCUUCCUAGAAACUAAAAUGCCCAAAAUUUAAUCACACAAUUAAAAUUUCAUUAUAACGGUCAAAAAAUAAGCUUGGAAACAGCUACGUUUUAAAGAUUACGUAAUAGUUCACUGACUGCAUGAUCUUUUUAUUGAAUUAAGCAAUAUAAAUUACUCAAUUUCUAGAUUUAUAUUGGUAGUAAACUAUAACAUUAAAUAAUUAAUGUUAGAAACAAUGUAAGUAUGAUUAAACCAGAAACCUACAGAUUCUUAUUUUAAUAUUAAGUAAGGUAAAACAAGCUCUCACUAAAGAAAGGAGUUUUAGUAUUUAUCUACUAGAAAACUUACUAAAGUCAUAUUGUAUUUAUCUAACACAAGUAGGAUUUUAAAUAAGUAAAACUGUGUUUAAGGAACUCGGCAAAAUAAAGAUCGACUGUUUACCAAAAACAUAGCCCUUGGUUAACCUCAAAGGUGCCACCUGCCCCAUGGUAUAAUAAAUUUUUGUAAAUAAAAACUAAACCUAUACUAAAUGGCCGCGGUAACUCUGACCGUGAUAAUGUAGCGAAAUCAAUCGUCAUUUAAUUGAUGACCAGUAUGAAUGGUGACACGAAUCUUUCACUGUCUCAAACACAGAUCUGUUGAAUUUGGUAUGAUAGUGCAGAAACUAUCAGUAAAUUGUAAGACGAAAAGACCCUAUAGAGCUUAACUGGAUUCUAAGACUAACAUUAUAAAUUUAAAUUUAGUUAGUACUUAGAGAGCUAGUUUGGUUGGGGCGACCUUCUUCUAAUAAAAACGAAGAACAGCAAAGCUUAAAAUUUUUAAAAUGUUUAAUUGUUUAACUUAUAAGUUUAACAAAUACAAAAGUAGGUAAAAAUGACCCGUUAAAUUAACCAAAAAAUUUAACGAUCAAGAAAUAAAAGCUACCUUAGGGAUAACAGCGUAAUCUUGUUUAAGAGUUCCCAUCGACAACAAGGUUUGCGACCUCGAUGUUGAAUUAUGAUAUCCAGAGGGUGCAGCAGCUCUCAAAGGUUGGUCUGUUCGACCAUUAAAAUCGUACAUGAUUUGAGUUCAUUCCGCCGUAAGGCAGGAAGGUUUCUAUCUACAAUUCAAAAAAAUGAAAGAACUCCUUAGUACGAAAGGACCAGGAGAUUCGUUGUCUCAAUCAACAAAUUUAAAAUUUGAUUGUCACUAAAAUUUAAAUUAAUCAUUAUUCUACUUCAUCCU